rnacentral:misc_RNA from 1 species
GAACUGCGAUAAGCAAUGCGAAUUGCAGAAUUCCGCGAGACAUCAGAUCUUCGAACGCACUCUGCGCUAAGGUGAAACUCACCUUAGCAUAUUUGUCUCAGUGUAAUCAAAAUAAUAAAACAAAAUGUGAUUGAUAUUUAAUCUCUCACUAAAUCAUAAUAAGAUUAUUAUUUAAUCCUUUGAAGCGGUCAUGUGAAAUAUCAUGAUUUCAUUGGAAUAAAUUAAAUAAUAAAAUUAUAGAUAAUUUACAAACAAUUCAAUAUUAUUUACCUGAGAUCAAGUAAGAUUACCCGCUGGAGUUAA